AGAAACCUUCUCGGGACAGCUUCUGACGAGAGGUUCACGAAUCUGGAACCUGUAACCUCUGGUCAAUUAAGUACAGCAAAAAGUUCACCCAGGCCUGGUGAGAGGAUUAACGGGAGGCGACGGAGGUGCGGAGGGGAAGGGAAAAUAACUGGCUGGCUUCACCCAAAGCCCUGUGCAAUCGAUGGCAAGUCUCCAGUGGGCUCGAGGCCACGGCCCAGCGAGAUGGAGGAGGUAAAUAGGACAGGCGAUCAAUCGUGGGCAAGAGGAAGGAGGACAAACGUCACAAAUCCAAUAUUAAAAAAAAAAAAAGAAGAACAGUGUUGAGUUAAAAGCUUUGGCUCGAUGGAGUUGGCCUGACAGUAUCAGAGCUUUGUCAGCACUGGGCCAUGUUUCAUCUCAAGUUGAUGCUCUUUGGCAAAAGUAAAAAAUAUAUAUAUUUAUAACGAGAAUGCCGCUGUUUUUCUCUGCGCAAAGAAAAAAAAAAAAAUCUCACCCGAAAGUUUGUGUCGCUGAGAAAAGCAUGUAGCAUCUUCCCAGAGAGGCGGUGGAGAUCGCAGCCCGGUCGC
rnacentral:lncRNA from 1 species